CUCCGUGGGAGGUCUGAUUCUCCGUCGCCGGGUUCGGGCCGCAGCCGGUCCAAGGAUGCAUCGAGCGCGAGGUCAGUUAAGCUAAACCGCUUGCGCCAAGAGAGCAAACUGCCGAGUUGUGGAGAGGAAUUAGUGCAGCAGCCAAGAGAGCGAGGCUAUCCUCGGCUCUCACGGCAUUUUUUCCUUUGUUUUUCCUGGGAUUCCUAGUGAAUGACAUUUUUCCAUUGAUGGUGAUUUUGGUGAUGAGAUCAGUGCAUUAAUUGAUUCGUUUUGGUGAA